rnacentral:rRNA from 1 species
CCAAUAGCGUAUAUUAAAGUUGUUGCAGUUAAAAAGCUCGUAGUUGAAUUUCGGGACUAGUACGCUGGUCAUGCCUUUGGUAUGUACUGGUGUUACUGGUUCCUACCUUCUGACGAACCGUCAUGUCAUUCAUUUGGUGUGGCGGGGAAUCAGGACUGUUACUUUGAAAAAAUUAGAGUGUUUAAAGCAGGCUCGCGCUUGAAUACAUUAGCAUGGAAUAAUGAAAUAGGUCGUUUGAUCCUAUUUUGUUGGUUUCUAGGAUUGACGUAAUGAUUAAUAGGGAUAGUUGGGGGCAUUAGUAUUCAAUUGUCAGAGGUGAAAUUCUUGGAUUUAUUGAAGACUAACUACUGCGAAAGCAUUUGCCAAGGAUGUUUUCAUUAAUCAAGAACGAAAGUUAGGGGAUCGAAGACGAUCAGAUACCGUCGUAGUCUUAACCAUAAACUAUGCCGACUAGGGAUCGGAUGAUGUUAUUUUUAAUGACUCAUUCGGCGCCUUACG